AAAAAAGAGAUCUAGAUGCCUAUCUAGUGUAUUACUUUUUAUUCUUACAUUCCAAAAAUACCUUGGCAUUCAACAUAUGAUUUUUACAUUAUGAUUUUUAUUGUUGUCUGCCUGUCCAUCCAUAUCGACACAUUUGAUAUCUGAAAUCCAUCAUAUUGGGUUUUUUAUAAAGUGCUGAAUAAUUGAACCGUGUUCACAGAAGACAGAUAACUAUUUGAAUUAGUUUUGACGAAAUCCCUGAAAAUCUGUUCAAAUUGUAGAAACUUUUUUCAUUAUAUUUAAUGUUCGUGUGUGUUGUUCUGAGUUAUAGAACUUGAUUUACAGUACAGAAUACUGUUUUUGAAAUAGAUGUAGAAGGUUGUGUCGUGUUUCUGUUUUAGCAGUACAUAAAUGUAUAUUUAGUACUAUCAAUGAUCAUGAAGAUGUAGAAAAGACAAUGUAUGAAAAAUAUUAAAAUUACUUGAAUGUUGUUUAAUGUGAAUAUAAAUGUUUCUACUCAAAGUAGAUUUGAUUGUACAUUGUUGUGUUGAAUGUUAAAAUAGAUUUUUGUGACCUGAACAAAAAAAUAUGUUGUUAUUUGUAUUGCAUCAUAUGUAAAUAUGAUAUACAUGUACAAUUGUAGUUGACUGCAGUAUUCAAUAUUAUAUAAGUAUAAAAUGUUAUGCUGAUGUGGAAAAUUUCUUUUUCGUCCCCUUUGAAUAAAAGUCACAUUAUAAAAGAGAGGGUGACAACUUUCAAAUGCAAAUUACUCGUUCUGAUACAAUGAUGUCAAUGUUUUUUCUUAUUUUUGAUUUUAGGUUAUUUGAUUUCCUUUUUUCCGAGAUGGAAAUGCAAAUAACAUCUUUGUCAUGGACCAUAUAAUGUAGUUGUAUUUCACUUUAGUGAUGUUUACACUAUGACUUAAGUGAAUGUUUUAAUUUUUUGUUAAAGGUCCUUAGACUUUGACAUUAGACUACAAAGUAAAUUUAGAAUUUUCAAUCUUAGAAAUUAAAUAUGCAUGUAAUAUUUGCCACUGGACAUCAAGUAAGCAUCACUAAUCAAUGAUGAUUUUUAGACCUUCAGAUAAAUCUGCAUUUUAUUGAUUGCUAAACCAAUAUUUUUUUAUUUUUAAUUGAACUUUCUAAUAUAGAUUAGUUUGUUUUUUGUUCUGUUUUAUAACUUACAGCUAGUUUUCCGUCCAAUUAGUUGAUAUUUUUUUUAGAGAAAUAGAUCUGUGUUUUGGGGUAGAUUUAGUUUUUUCUUUAGAUUUGUUUGAAUGUUAUUUUUUAUGUUAGUUUUGUUUUCAAGAUCUGUUUUCUAUCUUUUGAGGAAAAAAAAUAUACUAGAAAGUUCGAUGAAUAUAUGUUCCAACAUGAACAAGGAAAACAUGGAAAAACUUGUUCAUAUUAUACAUGUAUAUGGAAAAAACAAUAUUGAUUUACAUCAUUUUUUUACUACAAUUCUGACAACACUUGACAAAAAAAAAUUGAAAAGUUUUAAUUCACUCCCACGAAGAAUUGAAUUCCGUAUUUUGUAUUAAUCACGAUAUACUAUUACAUUUUUGCCAAACACUGUAAAACAUGCCACAUGUUAUGAAUUGUUGUUUAUUUGUUGGUAUAGUUAUUAGAUUUGUAUAUGUGCAGUGUUGUUGAAUGCAGUGUAGAACAUAAUGAUCUUCCUUCUUUUUAAGCCAUAUAGAUUUACACAACAUGGCUUGGUUUAUAUAUGUAGGUACUUUUAUACCAAAUUAACUCUACGCUAUUGAUAAAAAAGCAUUUAUAUAUAUUAAAGUUUGUGUACCUGUCAGUCAGUCCUGAAAACCAACAUUUUAUUGCAUGUAAUUUUUUUUCUGAAUUAAUGUUUCUUAAAUACAAAUUGAAUUCAGUGAAAAAAAAGAAAUAUAAAAGCUUAUAAUUUCUAUUUAAAAAUAAAAUAACAUAACAAAGUACUGACUUAAUUAGAAAUAGUCUUCAAAUUGGAAGGCAGCCAUUACAAAAUUAUUUAAAAAAAAAACAGGAACUGAUAGGUACACUGGCAUUAUUAAGAAAUAUUUUUUAUAUUAUUAUGCACAUAUAUUUGUUAUAUUCAUCUUCAAACUAUAUGUAUAUCUGAUAAUCACAUUUACACUGUUGUUUUAAAAUAUUUCAGAGAUAGAAUGUGUAUUUCCCUUUUCAGGAAAAUAGAAUACUUUCUAUCAUAACUUCUGCAUUAUGUAAAAUUUUCUCUUGACUGUAAAAACUGUUAUUAUUAGUAGAUUUUUAAAACUUUUAGAAUUAUAGAUUUUUGGUUGACCCCUAGUGCUGUCUUAGUUUUUAUAACCACUUUAUUUAAAAAAGCAAUAAUUUUUGUUAAUUUUAUGGUUGUCAUGAUUUGAUCUGAAUAUUCCUGAAAAGUUCUUUGGUAUAUAAAUAUAUUUCAGAAUGCAUUUGCUUAAAGUUUUCUGAAUCAUUUAAAGAACAAGAAUAGAUCUUAUUUAAAUUAAAUUAUUAAAAUUUUUGGAUAUAAAAGAAGAGAUGUUAACAUUGGGCAUAACCUUUUGCCCUUGGAGAAGUUUUGGUCUAAUUUCGUUGAAGUUCUUGUGUUGAAUUGCAUGAACAUCUAAAAAAAGUCAAUAUUGUUCUGGACACCUUGAGUUGUUUAAGGUAAAGAAAUUAGGUACAAGCAAAUAAUAUCUCUUUUCAUAGUAACAUUUCAGUUAUGAAUAAUAAACAGUACAUACAAUUUCACCAUAGAUUUUUCAGGAAAAUUCAGUAAUAUAGUAUUAUUAAAAUGAUGGAAAUAAUGUCAAUGUUGUGAUGUAAUAAUUAUUGUGAUUUUUUGUAAUACAUUCACCUUUUAAGGUAUUGUGUUAAAACAGUAUUGAAAUCAAGCAUUAAAUGAACAAGUAGUGAA
rnacentral:lncRNA from 1 species